rnacentral:piRNA from 1 species
UAAAAACUCACUCAAGCUAGGAUUGGGUA